CAAAGCCUAAACAUAUAAUACUCCCUCUCAAAAUAUCAGACCCCUAAGGGGGGUCAUUACCCUCUCAAGCGGCUAGGGUUCUCAUCUAACCCUAGCGCCGCCUCACCCUUCUCCCUUUCUCCUGCUGUCCCAUCACCGGUUUUAAGGUGGCGCAGGCGUGUGAGGCGCGGUAAUGGCUGGGAAGUCCUUUUUCACAUCUUUCUUUGAUUAAAUCCUCCAAACACACCACUAAGGUACAAUCCUUGUACAUCUUGCUAUUUUUUUUAUUUAUUUAUAGCUAUUAAGACGCGAAGCAAGCCGUUGAUUGCUUUUCCUUUUUCGAUCUGGACCGUUUAAUGCUAGACCUGAGAUAGAACUUGUAAAACAUUGAAAGACCCAUAUCGUUUUUCUUCGUUCAGAGGAUAUUUUAGAUGGUUCUGUAAAUAGAACCUCAUGUUUGACACAAAGGGGGGCGAAAAAAAAAGAAAGGCGGAAAACCGAAUAUAACAGCUUCAUAUUGAGUUUUACUCGGGAGAAUAGCUUUUAUCAGUAUAAUUUUAAGUUAAGAGGGUAAAAAAAUCUUUUUUUUUAGUCAAAAGUCUGUACUCUUCUCUGUGUUUUAUUUGUAUUUGUGGCUCGAGUUUGGGAUUUGGAAGCACAAAAGAGGGCUCCAAGUUCAAAUCUUGAUUCAGCUGCUCAUACAAAAGCCUGCGUGGCCCAAUAAGGAAAAUUCUUUCCUCGAAGAUAUUGAGUCCGCGAAGACGACGUAAAUAGCUUGGCCCGCAGAAGGCCCAACCAUGGGUGAAAAUAUAUAUAUAUAUAUAUAUAUAUAUAUAUAUUUGUAUAGUUAUGAAUGUGAUAAGUUCGGUAAAUAUAACUAACCGGUUUCCCUUUUUUUUUCCCCCCUCACCACAUGACCACUCGGGUCAGGUCAGCCUGCCUGGCCCAAUAAGAAAAAUUCUUUCCUCGAAGAUAUUGAGUCCGCGAAGACGACGUAAAUAGCGUGGCCCGCAGAAGGCCCAACCAUGGGUGAAAAUGGCUGGCUAGGGGCUUGGUACGCCCCUAGUCUUUAUGUUAUUUGCUUAUUGUCUUUUUUCCAUUUUUUGAGUCUUCAUGUAUUUGUAAACUUGUAAAAACUCAUGUCAUAGGACAACGGUACUUAUGCCGUUUAGAUUGACUCUAAGUCCCUAAAACCGAUUUUCAAAA